ensembl:miRNA
GUAUUAGGUUGGUGCAAAAGUAAUUGCAGUUUUUGCAAUUACUUUUAAUGGCAAAAACCUCAAUUACUUUUGCACCAAGCUAAAUAU